rnacentral:rRNA from 1 species
UACGUAGGUGGCGAGCGUUGUCCGGAUUUACUGGGCGUAAAGGGCGUGCAGGCGGUUUGCUAAGUCCAGGGUGAAAGCUCCCGGCUUAACUGGGAGAGGCCAACGGAAACUGUCAGGCUAGAGUGUGGUAGAGGAAGAUGGAAUUCCCGGUGUAGCGGUGAAAUGCGUAGAUAUCGGGAGGAAUACCUAUGGCGAAAGCAGUCUUCUGGACCAUCACUGACGCUGAUGUGCGAAAGCUAGGGGAGCAAACAGG